CAAUAGCCUAUAUUAAAGUUGUUGCGGUUAAAAGCUCGUAGUUUGAUUUCUGCUGAGGACGAUCGGUCCGCCCUCUGGGUGAGUAUCUGGCUCGGCCUUGGCAUCUUCUUGGAGAACGUUGCUGCACUUGACUGUGUGGCGCGGUAUCCAGGACUUUUACUUUGAGGAAAUUAGAGUGUUUCAAGCAGGCGCACGCCUUGAAUACAUUAGCAUGGAAUAAUAAGAUAGGACCUCGGUUCUAUUUUGUUGGUAUCUAGAGCUGAGGUAAUGAUUAAUAGGGAUAGUUGGGGGCGAUUCGUGAUUUUAAUGUCAGAGGCGAAAUUCUUGGAUUUGUUAAAGACGGACUACUGCGAAAGCAUUUGCCAAGGAUGUUUCCAUUGAUCAAGAACGAGA
rnacentral:rRNA from 1 species